UUGAAAGGGAAACGAUUGAAGUNAGUCGUACAGCGGGAAAUAANUUNGAGUGGGGGUUUUGGAGUUUUGAAGAGUGUAAAANUUUGAGAUUUAAAAAUUUGUUUUUGGUGUAUUUUGUGGGUAGGUUAAAUGAUUUUGAUAUAUAAAAAGAUUGGAGGAAUGUAGUUGAUUUGUAUUGAAGUGUUAUAGCUUUGGUAAAUGUGAUGAUUAGGAUGAGGAUUGAAGAAUNCUUUUGGGUAUNNGNUUGANUUUGAUAGUGGNNUUGNNNGAAAGNUUGGUUAUGGUAUUAAGGUAUUACGGUNAAAAGGUUAGAACGGAUUACAUUCGUUAAGGAUGUUGACGUA
rnacentral:rRNA from 1 species